rnacentral:tRNA from 1 species
UGUCUCAUGGUGUAAUGGUAGCACAACAGGUUUUGGUUCUGUUUGUUCAGGUUCGAAUCCUGAUGAGACAA